UAGGGAAUCUUCGGCAAUGGACGAAAGUCUGACCGAGCAACGCCGCGUGAGUGAAGAAGGUUUUCGGAUCGUAAAACUCUGUUGUUAGAGAAGAACAAGGACGUUAGUAACUGAACGUCCCCUGACGGUAUCUAACCAGAAAGCCACGGCUAACUACGUGCCAGCAGCCGCGGUAAUACGUAGGUGGCAAGCGUUGUCCGGAUUUAUUGGGCGUAAAGCGAGCGCAGGCGGUUUCUUAAGUCUGAUGUGAAAGCCCCCGGCUCAACCGGGGAGGGUCAUUGGAAACUGGGAGACUUGAGUUCCGAAGAGGAGAGUGGAAUUCCAUGUGUAGCGGUGAAAUGCGUAGAUAUAUGGAGGAACACCAGUAGCGAAUGCGGCUCUCUGGUCUGUAACUGACGCUGAGGCUCGAAAGCGUGGUGAGCAAACAGG
rnacentral:rRNA from 1 species